rnacentral:rRNA from 1 species
CAGCUUGCUGCUUUGCUGACGAGUGGCGGACGGGUGAGUAAUGUCUGGGAAACUGCCUGAUGGAGGGGGAUAACUACUGGAAACGGUAGCUAAUACCGCAUAACGUCGCAAGACCAAAGAGGGGGACCUUAGGGCCUCUUGCCAUCGGAUGUGCCCAGAUGGGAUUAGCUAGUAGGUGGGGUAACGGCUCACCUAGGCGACGAUCCCUAGCUGGUCUGAGAGGAUGACCAGCCACACUGGAACUGAGACACGGUCCAGACUCCUACGGGAGGCAGCAGUGGGGAAUAUUGCACAAUGGGCGCAAGCCUGAUGCAGCCAUGCCGCGUGUAUGAAGAAGGCCUUCGGGUUGUAAAGUACUUUCAGCGGGGAGGAAGGGAGUAAAGUUAAUACCUUUGCUCAUUGACGUUACCCGCAGAAGAAGCACCGGCUAACUCCGUGCCAGCAGCCGCGGUAAUACGGAGGGUGCAAGCGUUAAUCGGAAUUACUGGGCGUAAAGCGCACGCAGGCGGUUUGUUAAGUCAGAUGUGAAAUCCCCGGGCUCAACCUGGGAACUGCAUCUGAUACUGGCAAGCUUGAGUCUCGUAGAGGGGGGUAGAAUUCCAGGUGUAGCGGUGAAAUGCGUAGAGAUCUGGAGGAAUACCGGUGGCGAAGGCGGCCCCCU